rnacentral:rRNA from 1 species
AUCAACGCUGGCGGCGUGCCUAACACAUGCAAGUCGAACGAGAAAGCUGGUAGCAAUACCGGUGAGUAAAGUGGCGACCGGGUGAGUAACACGUGGAUAACCUACCUUCGAGUGGGGAAUAACCCUGGGAAACCGGGGCUAAUACCGCAUAACAUCCUGGGACUUCGGUUCUGGGAUUGAAACCUGGAAACGGGGCUCAAAGAGGGGUCCGCGGCUGAUUAGCUAGUUGGUGAGGUAACGGCCCACCAAGGCUUUGAUCGGUAGCCGGCCUGAGAGGGCGGACGGCCACACUGGAACUGAAACACGGUCCAGACUCCUACGGGAGGCAGCAGUGGGGAAUUUUGCGCAAUGGGGGAAACCCUGACGCAGCAACGCCGCGUGGACGAUGAAGCUUCUUGGAGUGUAAAGUCCUUUCGGCAGGGACGAAGCCCGAGCAAUCGGGUUGACGGUACCUGAAGAAGAAGCCCCGGCUAACUCCGU